rnacentral:rRNA from 1 species
AUGGCGGAUGAGGAACAUGCUCAAACCUCUCGGAAGAGGGUUGCAGAUAAACAAAUCAACAAGGACAAUCCUGAGCUUGAUGAUGACUCACCGGAGCAAGAGGGAGGAACAUUUAAGAAAGCUAGUGAGGAAGUGAUGGCAACCCGAAAAAUUGUAAAGGUUCGGCGCCAGCAGCCGUCGUCAGCUCCUUCUUCCAAUCCUUUCUCUGCAAUUAAGUUUACCACAAGUGAUUCCAGUGUUCAAGCAAGUAUUCCUGUCUCAAAACCUCCACCUUCUGAUGUCACAACGUCAAAUGUAAGGAGCUCAACUGAGAAAGCUGAUGAGGUCAGCAAUGGAAGUGGGAAAGAUGAUGUCAAGACUGCAGAUUCUAAUGAGGUAGCAGAGAUUCAAAAGGAUGAAUCGGGGCUGAAUGAAUCAAAUGCAGAAAACAAGUCAAAUGCGCCAAUGGAAGCACACUCUUCACUUACUGAAACUGAUAAGAAGGCAGGCAGCACAGAGGGUGGAACUGGUGAGGACAAAGUGCUGGUUGGAGAACCCAAGGUAGAUAACAGCAAGACAUCUGGAAUCGAGGGUAAAACAGAAGAUGAAGGGGUUAAAGUGAAUGAAGGUGGAGAUGAAGAUAAAAGCAGCAAGGACGGCGCUGAGAAGAAAGAUGAAUCUGAAUCAGGGACCAAGGAUGAAGUGAAUGAAGGUGGAGAUGAAGAUAAAAGCAGCAAGGACGGCGCUGAGAAGAAAGAUGAAUCUGAAUCAGGGACCAAGGAUGUAUCAUGUGAGCAUAAGAACGCUGAUAAUAAAGGGCAGUCAUCAUCACCGACACCUCUCUUCUCUUUUAUGAAUGUGUCAAGUGGCCAUAAUGCCUUCACGGGACUGGCUGGGACAGGGUUUUCAGCCUCAUCAUUUUCCUUUGGCUCAGCUUCUAAAGAAAGCACAAACGCUCCCCUAUUUGGGCUAAAGAGUGACGGUUUGUCCUUCCCUUCUUUCAAUAUGGGUGGUACGAACAACAACGGGAGUUCUGUUCCAUCGCUUGUCACUGCAGCAGAAGCACCAAAGAAAUUCACCAUGCCAGAGGUCCCAGUGGAGACAGGCGAAGAGAACGAGAUGGCUGUGUUCACCGCAGACUCCGCAAUGUACGAGUACCUCGAUGGGGGCUGGAAAGAAAGAGGAAAAGGGGAGCUAAAGCUGAACGUCCCUGUGUCUGGCGGCGAGAGGUCCCGGCUCGUUAUGAGGGCCAAGGGUAACUACCGGCUGAUCCUGAAUGCGAGCCUGUACGACGACAUGGCGCUGAAGGACAUGGAGAAGAAGGGCGUGACGUUCGCCUGCGUCAACAGCACCGGGGACUCGCCGAGCGGGCUCACCACGUUCGCCCUCAAGUUCAAGGACACUGGCGUCAGGGAUGAUUUCAAAGCCGCGGUGGAGGCGCACAAGGCGAAGAAGGCCUCGGACGCGAUGCCCAAGACGCCCGAGAGCUCCCCCAAGGUGUCUAAUGACUGA